GAUCCUGGCUCGGAUUGAACGCUGGCGGCAGGCCUAACACAUGCAAGUCGAACGGUAACAGGAAGCAGCUUGCUGCUUUGCUGACGAGUGGCGGACGGGUGAGUAAUGUCUGGGAAACUGCCUGAUGGAGGGGGAUAACUACUGGAAACGGUAGCUAAUACCGCAUAACGUCGCAAGACCAAAGAGGGGGGACCUUCGGGCCGUCUUGCCAUCGGAUGUGCCCAGAUGGGAUUAGCUAGUAGGUAGGGGG
rnacentral:rRNA from 1 species